AUGCCCGAGAGCAAGCCCGCGCCAGCUCCCUGUUUCACCGACGUCAUCGGGACAGUCCGCCCUCUGGUCUCUCCCCUCUCCGAUUUCCUGCCCCAACACCAGAGCAUCUUCCUGCUGUCCUGCUGCAACGGCCUCCUCCUCUGCCGCUGCUGGGAAGGCCAGGAUGACUUCCAUUACGUCGUGUGCAAUCUGGCGACGGAGGAGUGGGUCCGGUUGCCUGACUCCGUCAAUGCCGGCACCGACUGCAUGGCACGUCUGGCUUUUGACCCCGCCGUGUUGGAUCACUUCCAUGUGUUCGAGUUCUCCGAGGGUCAUGAAAUUCGCCAGGCCGGAAUGGAGGUAUAUUCCUCUAAAACAGGAGGAUGGGUUCAUAAGGAGAAUGGAUGGAUUGAUACGGAAGAUGAUGAAGCAUUUGUUUACCUUGUUGGUCAUCACUCUGGAGAUGUGUUUCUUAACGGCUGUCUGCAUUUUGUUGCCAUGGAUCCGGGUAUAGUAGCUGCGGUGGACACUGAGGGGAAAACAUGGAGGAACAUACCUGUCCCUGCUGUUGGCUCUAUUCCUCUCAUUCAGAAGUCUCAGGGUUGUUUGCAUUUCGCCACUUUUGUUAAAACAGAUGGUAUGGUUCUGUUGGUAGUUUUUGUUCUUGAGAACUACCGCGGUCAAGAAUGGAUAUUGAAGCAUAGCACCGAUGCUUCAUAUAUAUUUGGAGAGGGAGAGAUUGAUCUUAUACUGGGCUUUCAGUGGGUUGCAAUGCAUCCAGACUGUAACGUGAUCUUCUUAACUGUGGGCUGGGAUAAUACAUUGGUCUCUUAUGAUAUGGAUCAUCACAAAGUUCAAGAGAUCUGUGAUCUUGGAAGAGACGACAGCCCGCGAUAUCUGCCAUAUGUGCCAUUGUACUCAGAGUUACAAACUCUGCACUAG
rnacentral:rRNA from 1 species